rnacentral:rRNA from 1 species
UACAGAGGGUGCAAGCGUUAAUCGGAAUUACUGGGCGUAAAGCGUGCGUAGACGGUUACAUAAGUCGGGUGUGAAAGCCCCGGGCUCAACCUGGGAAUUGCAUUCGAGACUGCGUAGCUAGGGUACGGUAGAGGGAAGCGGAAUUUCCGGUGUAGCGGUGAAAUGCGUAGAUAUCGUAAGGAAGACCAGUGGCGAAGGCGGGUCUCUGGACAGUUCCUGACGCUGAGGCACGAAGGCCAGG